ensembl:snRNA U1 U1 spliceosomal RNA
AUACUUACUUGGCAGGGGAGAUACCAUGAUUACGAUAGGUGAUUUUCCCAGGGCGAGGUUUAUCCAUUGCACUCUGGAUGUGCUGACCCCUGCGGUUUCCCCAAAUGCGGUAAACUCCAUUGCAUAAUUUGUGGUAGUGGGGGACUGCGUUCGCGUUUUCCCCUG